ACUUGAGCAGUGCCUAAACAUGCAGUCGAGCGCGAAAGUUCCUUCGGGAGCGAGUAGAGCGGCGGACGGGUGAGUAAGACAUGGAUAAUCUGCCCUCGAGUUUGGGAUAACUUCGCGAAAGUGGAGCUAAUACCGGAUAAGACCACGCAUCAUAAGAUGUGUGGUAAAAGGUGGCUUGUAUUUAUACUGGCUAUCACUUGAGGAUGAGUCCGUGGCCUAUCAGCUUGUUGGUGAGGUAAUGGCUUACCAAGGCUAUGACGGGUAGCUGGUCUGAGAGGACGACCAGCCACACUGGGACUGAGACACGGCCCAGACUCCUACGGGAGGCAGCAGUGGGGAAUAUUGGGCAAUGGGCGAAAGCCUGACCCAGCGACGCCGCGUGGGUGAUGAAGGCCUUCGGGUUGUAAAGCCCUUUCGUGCGGAAAGAACAGUCUUGUGGCUAAUAUCCACAGGAUUUGACGGUACCGCAGGAAGAAGCACCGGCUAACUCCGUGCCAGCAGCCGCGGUAAUACGGAGGGUGCAAGCGUUGUUCGGAAUUAUUGGGCGUAAAGGGCGCGUAGGCGGUUGUGUAAGUCAGAUGUGAAAUACUCCGGCUCAACCGGAGAACUGCAUUUGAAACUGCACAGCUAGAGUACAGAAGAGGGAAACGGAAUUCCCGGUGUAGAGGUGAAAUUCGUAGAUAUCGGGAGGAACACCAGUGGCGAAGGCGGUUUCCUGGUCUGAUACUGACGCUGAGGCGCGAAAGCGUGCAGAGCAAACAGGAUUAGAUACCCUGCUAGUCCACGCUGUAAACGGUGAACACUAGGUGUGUGAGGUGUAAUACCAUUCUGUGCCGAAGCUAACGCGUUAAGUGUUCCAGCCUGAGAAGUACUGCCCGCAUGAUUUG
rnacentral:rRNA from 1 species